UUUUUACUUCAUAAACAGGGUGGCUGAAAAGAGGAGUAUAAAGGUCGAGCAAUUUAUGUGAGGGUAAACUGUAAGCUGGCAGCAAAGUGGCAAAUGGAAUCUGCUGGCUUGUCUGCAGUUUGUCAUAGCUGGAGAUAACAUGGAGAAAGAAGUCUUGAAUCAAUAUUUGUGGGGCAGGUGCCUGAAUCUUUGAAAGCCAUUGGGAAUCGGGUAUCUCAUUGCCAUCCAUCCAUCCUGCUGAGAAGGAACUACUGUGUACAAGGAAAGGUAUCUCCAGUGGUCAGACAGAGACACGGAGAGAUCACCCACCUCCAAAAGGCAUUCUGAGAAAAGAAAAGGAAUUGUCCAAGAUGCUGCAAUAAAGGAAAUCACCAGUGUUGGUUCUGUACUGAA
rnacentral:lncRNA from 14 species